rnacentral:misc_RNA from 1 species
UCUGACAGUAGAUAAUCAAAGAAACAACAAAACAAUCAAAAAAAACUGUAAAACAAUCCUACUACAAUUACAAAAGUUACAAUUCAGAGCCAUUUUAUUUUGGCCAAACUUAUUUCAGAUCUAAAACAUAACACCAAAUCUAAAAUAAAAAAUAAAAAUUACAGUAACAAAUGGGCAAACCAAAUGAACAAAACAGGGGUUACCAUAGCUCCGCCGUUGAAUCUAAACCCACCGUUCUUAUCCGCCGUCGAAUCAGCAACUUUGCCUUUGCGACUAGCAACCGGAGAAUCCGCCGGAGAAGCCGGCGCUGGUGGUGACUUGUGUUUCUUCCCGGCCGGUUUCGGAGACUCGGCAUCUGCUUCAGGUGUCGGUGCUGGUGCUGGUGCAGGAGUUGGAGCUAAUUUGAACAAUUCGAUUGGCUCUAAAACUUCAUCAAUCGAGAAAAUCGCAACUGGCUCUUUAUCAAAUACAGUUCCAGUGAUUUUCCCUGUAACUAUUUUAGUCUUCAAUGUCACAUCUUGUCCGUCAUUUUGAACAACGAAAUCGUAGUUAUUAGCUCCAUCAGUAGCUAAAGUGUUCAUCAAACCAUUACUCGUUCUCAAACUCGACAUCGAUUGAUAAACCGGAACUCCAUGAUAUUCGAGAACUGAUUGUUUUCCAUCCGCUGUUAAAUUUUUGAAUUUAGGUGAAAACGAUUUCAUUGCAUCGUCUGUUGGACAAAAUAUUGUUACACCUCCUUCUACAUUGUCCUCGAAUGUCUUCUCAGCCGGUGAACCUGAUAGUGUAUCUGCAAAACUUUUACAUCCAUGAGCUGACAUUAGAGAUAUGAUACUGAUUGCUGCAGCUGGUGCUUCUCCUUUUGCAGAUAGCGACGGCUUGGUUUUACUGAUCUGACUGUGACAUGGCAGAAUAGCGGCAAAGAGAAUAAUAAUCAGAGUUGUUGCUGCUGAUCGGAGCUUCAUUUUUCUCCGGCAGACGGAAAAUGGAAACUGUGGCUUGUUGUUUAGUAAAAAGUAAGUGUGGCUGUG